rnacentral:rRNA from 1 species
GAUGAACGCUGGCGGCGUGCCUAAUACAUGCAAGUCGAGCGAACAGACGAGGAGCUUGCUCCUCUGACGUUAGCGGCGGACGGGUGAGUAACACGUGGAUAACCUACCUAUAAGACUGGGAUAACUUCGGGAAACCGGAGCUAAUACCGGAUAAUAUAUUGAACCGCAUGGUUCAAUAGUGAAAGGCGGUUUUGCUGUCACUUAUAGAUGGAUCCGCGCCGCAUUAGGUAGUUGGUAAGGUAACGGUUUACCAAGGCAACGAUGCGUAGCCGACCUGAGAGGGUGAUCGGCCACCCUGGAACUGAGACACGGCCCAGACUCCUACGGGAGGCAGCAGUAGGGAAUCUUCCGCAAUGGGCGAAAGCCUGACGGAGCAACGCCGCGUGAGUGAUGAAGGUCUUCGGAUCGUAAAACUCUGUUAUUAGGGAAGAACAAAUGUGUAAGUAACUAUGCACGUCUUGACGGUACCUAAUCAGAAAGCCACGGCUAACUACGUG